CACCUCUUCCCAUUCCGAACAGAGAAGUUAAGCACAUUAGCGCCGAUGGUACUG
rnacentral:rRNA from 1 species